AUUGAUUGAGUUUGACUUGAUCAAAAGAUAAACGAUCUUUAUUAUCUUGAGUCUUGACGCAGUUUCGUCUUAAGUCGCAGAUUCUUUGUUUAGAUAACUUAUAUGUCAGCUUGAAACGCUAUCUUUUUCUUUCUAAAUAGUGUUUAAGUUCUAAUUAUUUUUUGGUGCGUCCGAGAGUUUUUGGACUUAUAUGUUGGUUAUUUUUUUUUUCCCGUUAGGUUUUAGCUGCAUGGGGAGGUUCUAUGGAGGCAGUGGUUGAUGGACAUUCUUCAGCCAGUGAUGUAGCGGAUAAUUUGGUUGUAUAAUCUAUUAAAAUGAGGAGCGAAAUGGGAUGAAGCUGUGAUGAUGGACGCAUGAGAUGUACUGGGAUAAAGAAGCCCUUUUGUAGGGGGUUGAGUCCUGGUUUUGUCAUCCGACCUUUGCCAUGACAGGUGCGCUUGCAUGGCAGGUCACACAAAUCUUAAUAAAAAAUUUGUUUUUGUGGUUUCGAGGGGAGUUCGCACGGGAUUGCCCGGGUUCUCUCCUCUGUGUGUUGUGUGUGUGCUUUCGUUGCCUCUAUUUCUUUUCAUCAAAUUUGGUACUACCAUCCAAAUGCACCACAUACAUCACAUUGUUUGGAUUCAUAAACUUGUUAUUAUGUGUACUAACCAAUUUGUACUAAUCCAAGUACUAACAUUGUAAAUUUGAAAUUUUCAAAAAAAAAAAAAAAAAAAAUUUCAAAUUUUCAGUGCUAGUACCUAGAUUAGUAUAAAUUGGUUAGUGCACAUAGUAUUAUUCUUCCUGAUGCACCUGAGUGGUCGGAUUUAUAAGCAACAUCUCAUGGAAUUAAGGUUUUGAACACAUGCUACGAUCGGAUCCUGCUGCAUUAACUGUGGUCUACUCAAAAGACUUGGAGCAUGGGACCUGCAAGAAAAGUUCAGAUAGAAGAUAUAAAUCAUUAACUGGGGAAGCUGAUUUUCUGGCAUUAGGAUUGUGUUGGAGAAAAAGGGAAGUUGUACGUUACUACAUUUACAGAUCCGUCAAUUUGCUUGGGAGCUUUUGAGUUUUCUAAUCUUUCAGAUUUUGAAGUUAUUUGGGGCCUUGGCAGCGGGUUAUAUCUUUUGUGAUUGAGUCAUCAGGCAUUUCUAAUAAAAAGCUAUAUGGAGUAGCAGAAGGUUUUUCUUAUACGAAGGUUGUUGGGGGCAAGUUAAUGGAUCUUCUAUUCGUAAUGAAUAACAGAUUUAUUUUAGCCACUUUAUGUUCGCAUCUAUGGUUUUACUGUUGUUAUUGCUCUGUUGCAUUUUGACACAUUCGCUAAUUCAUGUAUUUAUAAUCUUAUUUCAUUUUAUACUA